rnacentral:rRNA from 1 species
ACGAACGCUGGCGGCGUGCUUAACCCAUGCAAGUCGAACGGAAAGGCCCUGCUUUUGUGGGGUGCUCGAGUGGCGAACGGGUGAGUAACACGUGAUUAACCUGCCCUUGACUUUGGGAUAACUUCAGGAAACUGGGGCUAAUACCGGAUAGGAGCUCCUGCUGCAUGGUGGGGGUUGGAAAGUUUCGGCGGUUGGGGAUGGACUCGCGGCUUAUCAGCUUGUUGGUGGGGUAGUGGCUUACCAAGGCUUUGACGGGUAGCCGGCCUGAGAGGGUGACCGGCCACAUUGGGACUGAGAUACGGCCCAGACUCCUACGGGAGGCAGCAGUGGGGAAUAUUGCACAAUGGGCGGAAGCCUGAUGCAGCAACGCCGCGUGCGGGAUGACGGCCUUCGGGUUGUAAACCGCUUUCGCCUGUGACGAAGCGUGAGUGACGGUAAUGGGUAAAGAAGCACCGGCUAACUACGUG